GAACACACCUGAUCUUGUCAGAUCUCAGAAGCUAAGC
ensembl:rRNA 5S_rRNA 5S ribosomal RNA